CGAAGAGGUAUCGUAAUUGAAGAGGUUUGGAAAGACCCACCACAGAAGGUAAUAGUCCUGUAUGUUAAACGAGAAGACUUUAGAUAUGAUCCAGAGUACCACGGGACACGUGAAACCCUGUGGGAAGCAGGAGGGACCACCCUCCAAGGCUAAAUACUACCUAGUGACCGAUAGCGUAUAGUACCGUGAGGGAAAGGUGAAAAGAACCCCGGGAGGGGAGUGAAAUAGAACCUGAAACCCUGCACUUACAAGCUGUGGAAGCACAUUUCUUGUGUGACCGCGUACUUUUUGUAGAACGGGCCAACGAGUUACGUUAAGUAGCAAGGUUAAGCACUUAAGGUGUGGAGCCGUAGCGAAAGCGAGUUUUAACUGAGCGUUCAGUUACUUGACGUAGACCCGAAACCGGGCGACCUACCCAUGAGCAGGAUGAAGCGAAAGUAAAAUUUCGUGGAGGUCCGAACCCACGAGCGUUGAAAAGCUCGGGGAUGACUUGUGGGUAGCGGUGAAAUUCCAAUCGAGCCCGGAGAUAGCUGGUUCUCCCCGAAAUAGCUUUAGGGCUAGCCUCAAGGUGAGAGAUACGGAGGUAGAGCACUGAAUGUCCUAGGGGGUAUUGCACCUACCGAAGACUAUCAAACUCCGAAUGCCGUCAUCUUAUACUUGGGAGUCAGACUGUGGGUGAUAAGAUUCAUAGUCGAAAGGGCAACAGCCCAGAUCGUCAGCUAAGGUCCCUAAAUGUAAGUUAAGUGGUAAAGGAUGUGGGAUUGCACAGACAACCAGGAUGUUGGCUUAGAAGCAGCCACUCAUUCAAAGAGUGCGUAAUAGCUCACUGGUCGAGUGAUCCUGCGCCGAAGAUUUCCGGGGCUAAAACUUACUACCGAAGCUACGGCAUCAGUAAUGAUGGGUAGGGGAGCUUCCCAUACGGGUUGAAGCAUGACCGUAAGGACAUGUGGACAGUAUGGGAGUGAGAAUGUUGGCAUGAGUAGCGAGAUGUGGGUGAGAAUCCCACAGGCCGUAAACCCAAGGUUUCCAGGGGAAGGUUCGUCCGCCCUGGGUUAGUCGGGACCUAAGCUGAGGCCGAAAGGCGUAGGUGAUGGACAACAGGUUGAUAUUCCUGUACUACCGAUAACCGUUUGAGAGAAGGGAUGACACAGUAGGAUAAGCUAAGCACACUGUUGGUUAUGUGUGCCCAAGCAUUGAGGCAGUCAAAGUAGGCAAAUCCGCUUUGAUAAUGCUGGGAUGUGAUGGGGAGCGAAAUUUAGUAGCGAAGUAGCUGAUUUCACACUGUCAAGAAAAGUCUCUAUCGAGGUUAAAGGUACCCGUACCGCAAACCGACACAGGUGGGUGAGGAGAGUAUCCUAAGGCCAGCGAGAGAACUGUUGUUAAGGAACUCGGCAAAAUGACCCCGUAACUUAGGGAUAAGGGGUGCCACCAUCAGGUGGCCGCAGAGAAUAGGCCCAAGCGACUGUUUACCAAAAACAUAGGUUUCUGCUAAGUCGCAAGACGAUGUAUAGGAGCUGACGCCUGCCCGGUGCUGGAAGGUUAAGGGGAUCUGUUAGAGCAAUCGAAGCAGUGAACUUAAGCCCCAGUAAACGGCGGCCGUAACUAUAACGGUCCUAAGGUAGCGAAAUUCCUUGUCGGGUAAGUUCCGACCCGCACGAAAGGCGUAACGAUUUGGGCACUGUCUCAACAACAGACUCGGUGAAAUUGUAAUUCCGGUGAAGAUGCCGGAUACCUGCGACAGGACGGAAAGACCCCAUGGAGCUUUACUGUAGCUUGACAUUGGGUCUUGGUACUACAUGUACAGGAUAGGUGGGAGGCUUUGAAACCAGGACGCCAGUUUUGGCGGAGCCAUCCUUGGGAUACCACCCUUGUAGUACUGGGACUCUAACCAUAGGCCAUGAAUCUGGUCUUGGGACACUGUCAGGUGGGCAGUUUGACUGGGGCGGUCGCCUCCCAAAAGGUAACGGAGGCGCUCAAAGGUUCUCUCAGUACGGUCGGAAAUCGUACGUAGAGUGUAAAGGCAAAAGAGAGCUUGAUUGCAAGACAUACAGGUCGAGCAAGGAUGAAAAUCGGACUUAGUGAUCCGGUGGUUCUGCGUGGAAGGGCCAUCGCUCAACGGAUAAAAGCUACCCUGGGGAUAACAGGCUUAUCUCCCCCAAGAGUCCACAUCGACGGGGAGGUUUGGCACCUCGAUGUCGGCUCAUCACAUCCUGGGGCUGUAGUAGGUCCCAAGGGUUGGGCUGUUCGCCCAUUAAAGUGGUACGCGAGCUGGGUUCAGAACGUCGUGAGACAGUUCGGUCCCUAUCCGUCGCAGGCGUAGGAAAUUUGAGAAGACCUGUCCUUAGUACGAGAGGACCGGGAUGGACGUACCUCUGGUGUACCAGUUGUCCUGCCAAGGGCAUGGCUGGGUAGCUAUGUACGGAAUGGAUAAGCGCUGAAAGCAUCUAAGCGCGAAGCCAACUUCAAGAUAAGAUUUCCCACCGCAAGGGUAAGACCCCAGAAAGACUAUCUGGUUGAUAGGUCGAAGGUGUAAGUGCAGCAAUGUAUUUAGCUUAUCGAUACUAAUAGGUCGAGGACUUGACCAA
rnacentral:rRNA from 1 species